GGCGUCCACCUGAGAGGUUCCAGAACUGAGUUUUGAUGGUUCAGUUGGGUGAGAAGGAAGAAGGGAACGAGGCAGCAGGUGAAGAGCCUGUUCCAGUCAGACUGACUUCUUUCCACACCCAGCUCCAGAGCCAACUUAUAGCAACAGUUUUGUAGAAAGGAACAUCCACUGCCAGCUCCUGCUCAUGGAAAAGGGACAUAGUUCAGGAGCAGAGCAUCUGCUUCACAUUCAGAACGUCCCAGUUCAGUUCCCCAGCAUCUCCAGGGCAUGAAAGGAGAGGUGAACCAUGGUGGGAGUUUGUAGUGGCAUCCGAUUGUCCCAUUCUUCAGCUUUCCUGAUCAAGUAUCUCAAGAAAAUUCCUGUGCUGGCCUGGUCUUCAAUUCAGUUUCUGUACUCAAACCAUGUCACUGUAAGACUAUUUGAAUAUGAGGAAAUAAUAGGUGGUAUAAUCAUUCCUGGACCCACAACCCAGUUUGUGGACUAGCAAAGUCGAAAAAAGGACAACAAAGCCAGCAUUUAAAUAUGUAUUUAUUGGUUGGCCACACUACAACAGAAGGUCUCCAGGUAGCUCCAAGGUAAAAAGAAGAACAAGAAUAAUUCAUACUUAUAAAUAAAUAAGAUACAGGAAAUACUAUUAAUGCAAUACAAAUAUAGGAUCAAAAAGUUCACUUUCAAAACAGAGCAGAGGAAGACAACUCAGCAGCCAUAGUAAAAGUGAACUCAUUAUGGGCAUGAUUUCAGGUGUGGUGAUUUGGAUAUAUGGGUAGCAAAAGUAAGACUCUUGUAGCCAUACCCUCCAACACUUCUCUGGUGAAAACAGGUACAUUCCAUUCUAUAUCUGUCAACCAUUUCUCCGAUGAAAAUAGGGACGAACUAAGGAAAAGUGGGAAAUUCCGGGAUCAAAUCAUCAGAAACCAGGAUGGCUUCUGUAAAUCCUGGACCGUCCCUGGAAAAGAGGGACACUUGGAGGGGCUGUUUUGGGGGCUGUGCAUCAUAAGAAGCUAUGUUUAUUCCAAGAAAAAAUGGUAUCCUUGCACCAAAAGUUUCAGGAACUCCAGAACUCAAGUUUGUUAACUAGAGUUAUAGUUAAUGACAGAGCACCAUCUUGUGGACAAUGUGCUGUUCAUAAUUUUUGCAAAGCAAUUUCGGCAUUUUUUGGAUAAAAACAACUUGACAUGAAAUAACUGUGGUCACGUAUUACAUGCUUUUCUUUAAACACUUAUAGCAAGUAAACAACUUUAAACAGUUUCUUAUGGAAAGCAUGACUGACACUUGAUUACAUCUGUGUGUCAUAAUUAAGAAUAAUCAAGUAAUCUACAAAGACAUGAGCAUUUCUAUAGCAGGCCAAGAACAAGUUAUCAUUCAGGCCCUGUUGGAGCCAGGCUUCUAGGGGCCAGUGAUAUCUGCCUACAAACCAUCAGCAACUGAUCGAGGCAGGUACAAGUACACACACUGUGCUGUGUAGAUUCCAGAGUUAACAGCUAAUUUUGGGGAACUGGUAAUACUACUCUUGGGAUCUUUAUUGGAGACAGUUCACCCACCCGCACUGAUAGGCUUGGUUUGGUCAUGAACACCUUCCCUACUUUGGGGGAGGUUAGCACUGACCAAUAAAAAACCACCUUGUAGCAUGUUUACCCUAG